GAUGGGCUGACCCACCUCGCACCUCAGCUUGUAGCCUCAGCUUGGUCCUCGUUGCUUGGAAUUCAGUCUUCCCUCUCUCUUAACCCCAGCUUGGCUAUUGGAAAACGAUUAGCAGAGAUUCAGUGGAGGCGUUUUCUCCUGGAAAAGGGUAUCUUGUAUGGGAUCGCGAUCUAAGGCGUCGGGUCUUAAACACACUAAAGAAAAACAGCGAAAGAGAAUCCAGCCAAGAGAAAUUUGCCCCUCUCGAAGGAAGGCUGAGCAAAAAACUGGGGACACUAAGGAGGAGCCUCGAGGAGGAGUGUUCUCAGAAUUCAGCUUAGCCUAUCGGAUGAGACACAGAAGCACCUCCUAUGCCUGGACACUCUGAACAGCUCUUCUUUACAACAGCUGAAACAUAGAUAAUGCAAACUAAUUUUUAAAUCUCAGUUUUAAAAAUACAUAUUUUUAUUAUUGCAUAUUGAGGGAUGAAGGAAUACUAUUCUACAGUGACCUUCUAUUGAGAAACACAAAAGAAGUUUUAUAUAUUAACAUUCAAUAUUUUUUAAUCCAAGGGCAUGGUAAUUUUUUUUCUUAUUUCUUAGCCCCCUUUUAUCUAAUUCCCACAGAUAUCAUUCAACUAAGAGGGGAAGGAAAAUUUCAUACAAUAUUACUUAACAAUAAAUCCAAUGUUUGGUAUCAAGUAUAUAGUCAAGAAGGGAUCAAUCAAAACCCCAUCUUUAAAUAAGUACGGUAUAUUAUACUACCCAACUGAUCAACUUGCACCAGAAGGGGGCACCAGCCAACCAUGCACAAUACUGUUCUGUCUGGCAAUAUUAUAAUUAAAGCCUCAAAUAUCUUUCUCUGCCUUUCUCCCAGUGCCUGGCACAAUAUCUUUAAAAUAGCUUUCAAAAACAAUUGCAUCUAGGCCAAAGGGGGAAGGGGUAAUUAUAUGCAUCUUCUUCCUAGCACAGAGAAAACUGCCCAGGAAGCUAGAGAUUGACCAUUCUAUAUUACUUUCCCAACUGAACAAUAUUACUGAGACAUUUUCUGACAUU